UUCAUUUUGGACUGUUAUUUUCUUACUUAUUUCAUUUAUUUCCUAAGGGAUUCUUCUUAAGGCCCAUUAAAGGCAUCAAGUAAUAUUAUAGAUUUUAAAAUCUAUAAAAUCUACCUAUGCUGCUUCUACUAAGUACUUUCUUUUUGGUAUCUUUCUUUUUAAAAUUAAAAUGUCUAUUAACAGCCUGAAAUAUUAAAAUUGCUCCCUUUUUGAUAUGGCAAUGUUAAUAUUUUCCAAUUGAGAAUGAUAGCGAUUAUUUUUUUAUUCCUGAAAAUCUGCAACUUCCCGGGACUUCGACAUCUGCGUGAGGGACAUGAUCCCAGCGGACGUCCCUGAGAGACUGUGAGCAAAAGUGAUGUUCCCCUCUUCUAGUCCCCUCUCUCCCUUUCCUUUUCCUUGUCUGACAGUUUGAGGUAAGGCCUCCAGUGGAAGACCCUGAGCCUUUAUGAUAACAGUAUCAAAAUAUGGAAGGGGGCUGGGUACCUGAGUGACUACAUGGAACAGAGAACCAACUCCCCAUUUCUUCCUGCCACCACUAACACACAGUAGAUGGUGAAGUGCAUGACAAAGGAACAAACUCUCAACAUUCUGAGGUUGUUUGUUUCAAUGGUUAGUGUG
rnacentral:lncRNA from 1 species